CCUACGGGUGGCAGCAGUGGGGGAUAUUGCACAAUGGGGGGAACCCUGAUGCAGCGACGCCGCGUGGGUGAAGGAGCGUUUAGGCGCGUAAAGCCCUAUCGGCAGGGAAGAAGAUGACGGUACCUGACCCAGAAGCACAGGCUAACUACGUGCCAGCAGCCGCGGUAAUACGUAGGGGGCAAGCGUUAUCCGGAUUUACUGGGUGUAAAGGGGGCGCAGUCGGUAAUGCAAGCCAGAGGUGAAAGCCCGGGGCUCAACCCCGGGACUGCUCUUGAAACUGCAGGGCUGGAGUACAGUAGGGGUAGGCGGAAUGCCUGGUGUAGCGGUGAAAUGCGUAGAGAUUAGGAGGAACACCGGUUGCGAAGGCGGCCUGCUAGACUGUGACUGACGUUGAGGCCCGAAGGCGUGGGGAGCAAACAGGAUUAGAUACCCCUGUAGUC
rnacentral:rRNA from 1 species